UUUAUCUUGUUAUCAUCAUUUAGUACUACUCUGCAUAUGGUUUCAUAUAUUUUGGUCUCACGGACAUUAGCACAAGCACCUGAUGUUCUAGUACAAGAAAUGACCAAUUGAAAAUCAAUGAUUUUUUCUAGUAGAUAGCAACACUACAAAAGAACGUGGACGAAUGUUCAUUAGCAUCAAUUGUAAAAAUGGGAUGCCAAAAACACACACGGACGUUCGGUUGCACUAUCUGCAGCCGUCCAAGUACAGGCACAACGGCAGCUGUCAAGCAGACCAAGUGCAGUAGCAGCUCCCUUCCCAUAUCCAGUCGCCAGCUCCAUGCCUCCAUCUUGUCCGUCCCUCACAACACUGAUUGCAGCAGGGAGAGGAAACAACAAGUGCUGGUGUAGCUUGGCAGGAUAGAGAGAUGGCGACCCACACAGUGAGCACACACAUCGAACUGAAAGAGGUCGCCUAGAACGUACUUCACAGUGAGCAUGCACACCCACACAUCCAUGUCCAGCUUGGCUUGGCCGGCAAGAGCGACAGAGGAGAGGAGCCGCUGUAGAGCCCAGGUGACCUCGUCGACUCCCUUAGAAGCCGGAGACUCGCUGUAGUGGUGCUGUGACUUGUGCUCAUACGAAGUUCCCUUCCAGGCAUGUAUCGGUGGAACUGCUGCCAAUUUUUUCUAUUGAACUGAUACAGACAAAUUGCCUCAAAUAUUUAUGGAAAUAUACUGAAGAAUGCUGCAGUUUUUUGCUGCAAGAAGUGUCGUUGUCCUCACUCUGAUGGAUUAACUCACCGCGGCAGCACCACUUCCUACGUGCUAGCAUCCGCUGCAUUUGUGGCCUAUGAAUGUCCUUUACGCAGUAGGUAGCCGAGAGCGACCACGCCGGCGCCGAAGGAGAGAAUCUCGUCGUUGUCCUUUGCUUUUGAGUAGUACGUCGCGGCUGGAUCCCUGGUGGGGGCCUGUGCCACGACGGCGCGCAGGGGCAUCACGCCGACGAGGGUCAGGCUGGUGGCUCGCACCGGGGAAGGAGACUGGUGGACCGCGUCACCGGAGGUGGAGGCGGGGUGGAUCAGGGAA